rnacentral:rRNA from 1 species
UACGUAGGCAGCAAGCGUUGUUCGGAAUUACUGGGCGCAAAGAGUGUGUAGGCGGUGCUCCAAGUCUGGUGUGAAAUCUCCCGGCUUAACUGGGAGGGUGCAUUAGAAACUGGAAUGCUAGAGGAUGGGAGAGGUAAGCGGAAUUCCUGGUGUAGCGGUGAAAUGCGUAGAUAUCAGGAGGAACACCUGUGGUGUAGACAGCUUACUGGACCAUUUCUGACGCUGAGACGCGAAAGCGAGGGUAGCAAACAGG